rnacentral:rRNA from 1 species
GCAAGUCGAACGGCAGCGCGGACUUCGGUCUGGCGGCGAGUGGCGAACGGGUGAGUUAUACAUCGGAACGUGCCCUGUUGUGGGGGAUAACUAGUCGAAAGAUUAGCUAAUACCGCAUACGACCUGAGGGUGAAAGCGGGGGACCGUAAGGCCUCGCGCAAUAGGAGCGGCCGAUGUCUGAUUAGCUAGUUGGUGAGGUAAAGGCUCACCAAGGGCGACGAUCAGUAGCUGGUCUGAGAGGACGAUCAGCCACACUGGGACUGAGACACGGCCCAGACUCCUACGGGAGGCAGCAGUGGGGUAAUUUUGGCACAAUGGGGGAACCCUGAUCCAGCAAUGCCGCGUGUGUGAAGAAGGCCUUCGGGUUGUAAAGCACUUUUGUCCGGCAAAGAAAUCCUUUGGGCUAUUACCCCGGGAGGGAUGGACGGUACCGGAAGAAUAAGUCACCGGCUAACUACGUGCCAGCAGCCGCGGUAAUACGUAGGGUGCGCAGCGUUAAUCGGAAUUACUGGGCGUAAAGCGUGCGCAGGCGGUUUUGUAAGACAGGCGUGCAAAUCCCCGGGCUCAACCUGGGAAAUGGCGCUUGUGUACUGCAAGGCUAGAGUGCGUCAG